rnacentral:piRNA from 1 species
GAAUGCCUUAUCCACCAUCAUGGUAAUUC